AUUUAAUAUUAAGCGCCAGAACUAAAGUUGCUAUUAAAAUCAAGGUUUUAGGGUAAGAGCUAAAAUUAAUUUUUAGAAGUUCGCCUCAUAAAAUCUUGAUCUUAAUAUAGAUUAAUAACAAUUACUUUAGUUGACGAGGAUGGGGAGUAUCGAAAUUUUCGGCGGGUGCCCCACGGUAUCGCACUACCGUAAAACAUUGGCAAAACUAAAAAGUGAUUUUUAGAACAAAUCCAAUGCGGUGUUAAAA
rnacentral:ncRNA from 2 species